GCCUGGCUAGCUCAGUCAGUGGAGCAUGUGACUCUUGAUCUCAAAGUUGUGAGUUCAAGCCCCAUGUUGGGUG
rnacentral:tRNA from 1 species